rnacentral:rRNA from 1 species
CCUACGGGAGGCAGCAGUGGGGAAUAUUGGACAAUGGGCGACAGCCUGAUCCAGCAAUGCCGCGUGAGUGAUAGAAGGCCUUAGGGUUGUAAAGCUCUUUUACCCGAGAUGAUAAUGACAGUAUCGGGAGAAUAAGCUCCGGCUAACUCCGUGCCAGCAGCCGCGGUAAU